rnacentral:rRNA from 1 species
GUACACUCCUGCGGGAGGCAGCAGUGGGGAAUUUUGGACAAUGGGCGAAAGCCUGAUCCAGCAAUGCCGCGUGAGUGAAGAAGGCCUUCGGGUUGUAAAGCUCUUUUGUCAGGGAAGAAACGGUGAAAGCUAAUAUCUUUUGCUAAUGACGGUACCUGAAGAAUAAGCACCGGCUAACUACGUGCCAGCAGCCGCGGUAAUACGUAGGGUGCAAGCGUUAAUCGGAAUUACUGGGCGUAAAGCGUGCGCAGGCGGUUUUGUAAGUCUGAUGUGAAAUCCCCGGGCUCAACCUGGGAAUUGCAUUGGAGACUGCAAGGCUAGAAUCUGGCAGAGGGGGGUAGAAUUCCACGUGUAGCAGUGAAAUGCGUAGAUAUGUGGAGGAACACCGAUGGCGAAGGCAGCCCCCUGGGUCAAGAUUGACGCUCAUGCACGAAAGCGUGGGGAGCAAACAGGAUUAGAAACCCCGGUAGUCCCAUGA